GACGAACGCUGGCGGCGUGCUUAACACAUGCAAGUCGAACGGAAAGGCCCUGCUUUUGUGGGGUGCUCGAGUGGCGAACGGGUGAGUAACACGUGAGUAACCUGCCCUUGACUUUGGGAUAACUUCAGGAAACUGGGGCUAAUACCGGAUAGGAGCUCCUGCUGCGUGGUGGGGGUUGGAAAGUUUCGGCGGUUGGGGAUGGACUCGCGGCUUAUCAGCUUGUUGGUGGGGUAGUGGCUUACCAAGGCUUUGACGGGUAGCCGGCCUGAGAGGGUGACCGGGCACAUGGGGACUGAGAGACGGCCCAGACUCCUACGGGAGGCAGCAGGGGGGAAUAUUGCACAAUGGGCGGAAGCCUGAUGCAGCAACGCCGCGUGCGGGAUGACGGCCUGCGGGGUGUAAACCGCUUUCGCCUGUGACGAAGCGUGAGUGACGGUAAUGGGUAAAGAAGCACCGGCUAACUACGUG
rnacentral:rRNA from 1 species